AAAUUGAAGAGUUUGAUCAUGGCUCAGAUUGAACGCUGGCGGCAGGCCUAACACAUGCAAGUCGAGCGGUAGCACAGAGAGC
rnacentral:rRNA from 1 species